AUUGAACGCUGGCGGCAGGCCUAACACAUGCAAGUCGAGCGGAUGAAGGGAGCUUGCUCCUGGAUUCAGCGGCGGGCGGGUGAGUAAUGCCUAGGAAUCUGCCUGGUAGUGGGGGAUAACGUCCGGAAACGGGCGCUAAUACCGCAUACGUCCUGAGGGAGAAAGUGGGGGAUCUUCGGACCUCCCGCUAUCAGAUGAUCCUAGGUCGGAUUAGCUAGUUGGUGGGGUAAAGGCCUACCAAGGCGACGAUCCGUAACUGGUCUGAGAGGAUGAUCAGUCACACUGGAACUGAGACACGGUCCAGACUCCUACGGGAGGCAGCAGUGGGGAAUAUUGGACAAUGGGCGAAAGCCUGAUCCAGCCAUGCCGCGUGUGUGAAGAAGGUCUUCGGAUUGUAAAGCACUUUAAGUUGGGAGGAAGGGCAGUAAGUUAAUACCUUGCUGUUUUGACGUUACCAACAGAAUAAGCACCGGCUAACUUCGUG
rnacentral:rRNA from 1 species